UCUGGGCACCUUUCUUCAGAGCUGGAUGUCAUGUUGCUGCCUCUAAAUAUUCCAUCCAUCCAACAAUAUGUUCAGUACCAUGCUGUAUGAUCCUGCCCUUUGGUACAGACCUGCUAAGUACCACAAAUGGUAAUAAUGUUAGUUAUUGUGAUCAUUACCUAACAUGUUAAAUAAUGUUACAAUGUUUUACUGAAAUCAGUAUGUAUAUAAUCUACUGCAACUAUUUGUUUUGUAUUACAUGUUUACAUUUUCUAUAAAAACAUUUUAAGAAAGAAUUACAGGAAAGGAACUAGUUAUUAUGGUUCUCAGUAUACUGGUUGGACAGGUUGGUAUAGAAAGGAACUAGUUAUUAUGGUUCUCAGUAUACUGGUUGGACAGGUUGGUAUAGAAAGGAACUAGUUAUUAUGGUUCUCAGUAUACUGGUUGGACAGGUUGGUACAGAAAGGAACUAGUUAUUAUGGUUCUCAGUAUACUGGUUGGACAGGUUGGUAUAGAAAGGAACUAGUUAUUAUGGUUCUCAGUAUACUGGUUGGACAGGUUGGUACAGAAAGGAACUAGUUAUUAUGGUUCUCAGUAUACUGAUUGGACAGGUUGGUACAGAAAGGAACUAGUUAUUAUGGUUCUCAGUAUACUGAUUGGACAGGUUGGUACAGAAAGGAACUAGUUAUUAUGGUUCUCAGUAUACUGAUUGGACAGGUUGGUACAGAAAGGAACUAGUUAUUAUGGUUCUCAGUAUACUGAUUGGACAGGUUGGUACAGAAAGGAACUAGUUAUUAUGGUUCUCAGUAUACUGAUUGGACAGGUUGGUACAGAAAGGAACUAGUUAUUAUGGUUCUCAGUAUACUGGUUGGACAGGUUGGUACAGAAAGGAACUAGUUAUUAUGGUUCUCAGUAUACUGAUUGGACAGGUUGGUACAGAAAGGAACUAGUUAUUAUGGUUCUCAGUAUACUGGUUGGACAGGUUGGUACAGAAAGGAACUAGUUAUUAUGGUUCUCAGUAUACUGGUUGGACAGGUUGGUACAGAAAGGAACUAGUUAUUAUGGUUCUCAGUAUACUGGUUGGACAGGUUGGUACAGAAAGGAACUAGUUAUUAUGGUUCUCAGUAUACUGGUUGGACAGGUUGGUACAGAAAGGAACUAGUUAUUAUGGUUCUCAGUAUACUGGUUGGACAGGUUGGUACAGAAAGGAACUAGUUAUUAUGGUUCUCAGUAUACUGAUUGGACAGGUUGGUACAGAAAGGAACUAGUUAUUAUGGUUCUCAGUAUACUGGUUGGACAGGUUGGUACAGAAAGGAACUAGUUAUUAUGGUUCUCAGUAUACUGGUUGGACAGGUUGGUAUAGAAAGGAACUAGUUAUUAUGGUUCUCAGUAUACUGAUUGGACAGGUUGGUACAGAAAGGAACUAGUUAUUAUGGUUCUCAGUAUACUGGUUGGACAGGUUGGUACAGAAAGGAACUAGUUAUUAUGGUUCUCAGUAUACUGAUUGGACAGGUUGGUACAGAAAGGAACUAGUUAUUAUGGUUCUCAGUAUACUGGUUGGACAGGUUGGUACAGAAAGGGACUUGUAAGACCCUGCUUAUUUUCCCACGAAGGUUGAAUAGGCAGAGAGCUCUGUAAAUAUUGAACAACAUUUUGUUAUUCUUUUGUCUCUUUUUUUUGGUGCAUUUAAAUAUAAAAGUGGUUUGACUGCUCUGGGGGAUAA